GACGAACGCUGGCGGCGUGCCUAAUACAUGCAAGUCGAACGCUGAAGAGAGGAGCUUGCUCUUCUUGGAUGAGUUGCGAACGGGUGAGUAACGCGUAGGUAACCUGCCUUGUAGCGGGGGAUAACUAUUGGAAACGAUAGCUAAUACCGCAUAACAAUGGAUGACACAUGUCAUUUAUUUGAAAGGGGCAAUUGCUCCACUACAAGAUGGACCUGCGUUGUAUUAGCUAGUAGGUGAGGUAAUGGCUCACCUAGGCGACGAUACAUAGCCGACCUGAGAGGGUGAGCGGCCACACUGGGACUGAGACACGGCCCAGACGCCUACGGGAGGCAGCAGUAGGGAAUCUUCGGCAAGGGGGGCAACCCUGACCGAGCAACGCCGCGUGAGUGAAGAAGGGUGUCGGAUCGUAAAGCUCUGUUGUAAGUCAAGAACGGGUGUGAGAGUGGAAAGUUCACACUGUGACGGUAGCUGACGAGAAAGGGACGGCUAACUACGUG
rnacentral:rRNA from 1 species